UCUUCCUCUUUAGAAUCCAACACAGACCACGUUCUUCUUCUUUCUUCACUUUCCCCUUUCUCUUUAAAAUCCUAAUCGACGAUCCUUUCUCGUCCUUGUUCGAAAUCAACUCCGACGAAUCACAUCUCUCUUACUGUGGGAUGUUUCACCGUCGACAUAAGGCUUCGAUUUCGUGUCUCUUCCUUGUUGGAAAUCAUUUGUCUUCAUCUUCUUCAGUCUCGAAAAAUCCGGGUUGCUCUGUAUGUUGGUGGUCUUUAUGUUUGUGGAAAGAUUGGAUGGGAAUCUGUAAUAAAAAUGGGAUUAGACACACAAGAACUGUUCUUCCACAAAAAUUUUAUG